rnacentral:rRNA from 1 species
GUCUUUUUGAGUUGUUUUAAAAGUCUGACCUGCCCACUGAUAAAAUUUAAAUGGCCGCAGUAUUCUAACUGUGCAAAGGUAGCAUAAUCAUUAGUCUUUUAAUUGAAGGCUGGUAUGAACGGUUGGACGAAGUAUAAGCUGUUUCAUAUAAAUUUAUAUUGGAACUUUAUGUUUUAGUCAAAAAGCUAAAAUGUGGUUAAAAGACGAGAAGACCCUAUAAAUCUUUAUAUUUUAUUGUAUUUAAGCUUUUUGGAUUUAUUUUGUUUUUAUAUUUUAAAAUAUUUUGUUGGGGUGAUAUUAAAAUUUAAAAAACUUUUAGUUUUUGAAAAUCAUUAAUUUAUGAAUUAUUGAUCCGUUAUUAGUGAUUAUAAGAUUAAGUUACUUUAGGGAUAACAGCGUAAUUUUUUUUGAGAGUUCAUAUCGACAAAAAAGUUUGCGACCUCGAUGUUGGAUUAAGAUAAAUUUUUAGGUGUAGCCGCUUAAAUAUAAAGUCUGUUCGACUUUUAAAUUCUU